GUGCCAGCCGCCGCGGUAAUACGGAGGGAGCUAGCGUUGUUCGGAAUUACUGGGCGUAAAGCGCGCGUAGGCGGUCUAUUAAGUCAGGGGUGAAAUCCCGGAGCUCAACUCCGGAACUGCCCUUGAAACUGCUAGACUAGAAUCUUGGAGAGGUGAGUGGAAUUCCGAGUGUAGAGGUGAAAUUCGUAGAUAUUCGGAAGAACACCAGUGGCGAAAGCGACUCUCUAGGUCGAUCCUGACGCUGAGUGUGCGAAAGCCAGGGUAGCGAACGGGAUUAGAAACCCCGUAGUCC
rnacentral:rRNA from 1 species